rnacentral:pre_miRNA from 1 species
CGCAAAAAUGUGAAAAUAUGCUCUUUUACUAAAGGUUAAAGCGCUUUAACCUUUAGUAAAGGAGCAUAUUUUCACUUUUUUGUG